UAGAUUUAAGAUGAUUCACGCCGGAUAUAAAGAAAAAGAAUUUAUUUUUAAUUCCAACAAAAAUGAUUUACAAAAACAUUUGUAAAAUUAGUUAUUGAAUUUAUAUGCAUUGCAUAUUUAUUUAAUUUAGCAUUCAAGCAUUUUCACGAGCUUUUAAUUAGCAAAUCCUGAAGAAUUAUUACAGUUUCGACAAUUUUAUCAGAUAGAAUUUUAUUUGUCAAAUCAACAACCUCAAUUACCCACCUCCCUAUGAUAUCCAUCAGCCACCUACCCACUUACCCACCUCCCAUACCUGCAUUACACCUCAUUCAUCACUAUCAUACAUGCAUCACACCUCAUUCAUCACUAGGAAUUUCAAUCAUGCUUUCCACUUCAUCUCACACACUCUCUUCGUUUCCAUCACCCCAAACAAAGUUCAAGAGCAGAGCAACCAAGCAAACUCAGCAGCCAACCAUUUCAGAAAUUGAAGUGAAAUUCUAAAGGUUCAAACUUUAACUCGUCGCUUUAUUUCCCUUUUCGAUUGAGCAACCCAUUGAUAUCAUGUUAAGAUUUCCAGCCAUUCAAUUGAAUCACACGCUACUGAUUUCCCAUAUAGCAAAUUCAGUUUCGUGUAUCAAGUUUUUGAAACAAAAUGACAUUUACAUACAUGAGCAUACAAAUAUGUAUUUCUAUAUUCAUGAAACAUUCUUGUUGAAAAGAAGAAAGAAAAGUUUGAGCUUUGAUUUUGUUUCCUUGUCUGUCGAGUCUGGGCUCUGGUCGAAGGCGGUGGCUCGGCGCCACUGUCGGUCGGCUGGCGAGUUGAGGGAGAAGCUGACUGAGGCGGAUGAGAGAGUGGAGGGAAGCAGGGCACGGCGGCGGUGCCGCUGCUGUCCGGCCAAGGGCGAAAAACUGAGAGGGGAGGGAGUCAUGGUUUGUGUGUGUGAGCGUCUGUGAGUCAGGGGAGAGUCGACGGCGGCAGCCAUGGCUGCUGUCGCCGGAUGUUGCACAGAGGGAGGCCGAGGGAGGCGGCGGCGUCUACGUCGUCGCCAAGGAGGAGAGAGAACAGGGGUUGGGGCGGUGGCUGUCGUUGCAGUCGCCGAAAGAGGGGGAAGAAAGAGGGAGCUGGAACCUAUCGACGCUUGCCCCGGCGAGCUCCGACGGCGGUGAAAUUCUGAGGGAAAGAGACGAGCAGUCGUGAGGGAGAAAGAGAGAGACAAGAGAGGGGUUGAGAAGCAAGAGGGCGCCGGCGGUCGGGCGGUGGAGGUGGCGCUGCUACCGCUACCGGAAAAGAAGAGAGGGGGUGAGAAGAGGGUGUUGCAGCGCCGCUGCGUGUGUGUGUGUGUGCGUCUGAUGGGGGGUGAAGAGGGUAGUAGGUUUAAGUGUUGGGGGCUUGGGCUUGGGAGUGUUGGGGGCUUGGGCCGAUUUAUUGGGCCGACUUUAUUUUAUUUAAUGGGCCGAGUUUUGUUUAUUAAAUAAGCUGGGCCUUUGAUUAUUUUAAAUCAUGGGCUGCCCAAGUAUUUAUUUAAUAGGAUUUGUGUAGAUUUUAUUUAAAGGAGCUACACUAUUAUAAUUAAUUAGACUUAUUAAGUUUAAUUAAUUAUUUUCAAAGAGUAAAUUUUCAUAAUAAUAUCAUAUUAUUAUUAUGUGCAUAUUUUAAGUAAAUUACUUAUUAUAUGCUAAGCAUGACAUGAAAUUGCAUUAUAUUUUGCAAUAAAAAUAUUUAUGAUUUAAUUGGUUUUAUUUAUAAUUCCAAUUAUUAAAGAAAGAUGAGUAAGAAUAUUGUUGGUGUUCUUAACUCAAGAGAAAUGUUUUCAAUUAUUUAUUUAUUAAAUUUUGAAAACCCGGCUAAGUGAAUCAUAGAAUAUUAAGCACUACACCUUGACUUAAGAUUAGAUUCAGGAGACCUAUUGAGAAUAGAUUUCUUGUAGGCUUUGUGCUCAGGGGGAUUAGCGCUGCUUUCCCAAGACAGGUUUAUAUGUGUUAUGAUCUUCAGGCUUUGCCUAUCCAGGUGGGCUUACUUUCCAAAUGUACAAAGUAUGAUUGAGUUAUUAAGCUCUAAAUGUUUCAAUGAAAUGCAAAUUGUUUAUUUAAUGUAAUGAAAACUGUUUAUCCAAUAAAAUGUUUAUGUGCACUCUGCUCUGUUUAAGGCUCGCGCAGUUAAUCAAUUGAGGUUCUCUUAUGACCUAAUACGUUGUUUGAGAAUUGUGUACACUUGUUAGUUGACUCGGUGGGUUGAUCUCUAUCGGGCUCUAACCAGAGGCGUUAUAAGGGUGCUCGGCUGGAUGUGUUCCGGAGCAUGAGAAAUAUCAGGCCUGCCUGGGUAGCGUCCCGAGGUCAAAGUAAACUUGUCUGGGUUACACCCUCAGUUCAAGUCAGCGGGAGACAGAGAUCCGUCGGUGGCUAGAGGUCCGGGAUCACAGCGAGUAACAGAAAGGGAGUGUGACAUGUGCGCACAAAUGAAAAAUGUUUUAACAUGCUUAGAAGUUCUUUCAAUUUAAAACCUUCUAAGUCAUGUCAAGUAUAAUUGGAUAAACUGUCUUUAUUAAAAUAUGAAAUGUUUCAGAAAAUGCAUGCCCACUAAGUACAUUAGUACUUAGCCCAAAAAUACUUUCAAAUGUUUUCAGGUUGGCUGGCCGGUGCUGACGGGACGGAGCUGAGGCUAGCGAUAAAUUCCUAUGUUAGACUUCCGCUGUAGCAAUUACUCAUAUCAGUCUUUUGUUUUCCCAACUUAAGAUCUUCAUGUUAAAUUUCAAAUGAUAUACCUGACCGAACUUAGACUCUUCACUACUAAAUUUAUGCCAAUGAAUGCCGGUUGUCAGAAGCAUGAAAUAAAACUUGUGAUCCAAAGGGGCAUAGCCCGACUUUCUAUCCUAUUUCGGGUUUUAACAAGGUUGUUCCUUGUUUAUUUCUAUGAAUUAUUUGCACCUCGAUUAUAUUUAUUCAUUCAAGAAUUGGGGUGUGACAGAAUGGUAUCAGAGCAUGAGUUUUCUUUCAUGUUUCUGAUAACCAUAAGCUUUUGAUGUCGAGUCUAGAAUAGUAUCUCUAGACUUCUAAGAAUGUCAGUAGCCCUCAGCUCGCCGUCACACUGCCGCAACAAAGGUACGAUAAUAGUUUCAAAAAUAUACAUAUAUGUAUUUCAGAUGUUAUGAAUGUUUCCAAGAAAAAGUGUGCGCUUUCAAUGAAUGAUGCUAUGUGAAUUGCUUACCGCUUUCCAUAUGCUAUAAGUUAUGAAUUGCUAAUCGCUUUCAUAUUGUUAUUUUGGGUCUCCGACUCAUAUAACCAAGCUAAGUAUCGUGUUUGGGACAACCCGAGCCCUUAACGAUAGUGUCGUGUUUGGGACAACCCGAGCCCUUAACGAUAAGAUAAGUAAGUAUCGUGUUUGGGACUACCCGAGCCCUUAACGAUAAGAUGAGUUAAAGUCGUGUUUAGGACUAUUGAGCCUUUCACGAAUACCAGAUGUAUGGUCGAGUUAGAUUCUUUGAAUCUUUCCGGCAAUAGAAAAGUUUCAUGUGGCAUUUAAUGUCAACAUGUUUCAAGUUUCAAAGAGAAUGAACGAAUGAGAAAGCUUUAUGUUGUCGUUUUAGGCUAGCUGCCUAUACGAUUAGAAUGGUGGAUCCUCUUACAAACUGUUUGAGUACCACCCAAGAAUGCUUUGAGAAUGUUAAUCGUGAUAGCACCGCUUGAUCGAUUUAAGUAAAGACUGGUAAGAUAGAAAUGUUUAACAUAGAGAUGUUACAACAUAGAGGCAAUGCCUUAAGACUAAGGAUUCACUUGAGCUAUUUCAAUAGCGGUGAGAUUAAGUUUUUCACAUAAGAACUUAUGUUGCUUAUGAUUAUGAUGUUAGUCGUGAUAGCUUUGCUAGAACGGCAUAGAAUGGACUUUCAUGGUAUCAGUGACUUAUGAUGAAGUACUUGUUAGUAAGUGUUUUAAGUUAGAAGUUUGACCAGAGCCUUACAUGAAUAAGAAGUUGACAUGAUUGGGGGCGAAGCUCCCAUUUGACUGAGUGAUUCGUUUUGUUGGGUCUGGCCAGCCCACAUGACUAAGAUCUCGGUGAUUGUCAAUUAAGAUUUUUGAUCUCGAGGUAGAGCAUCAUCACAAUAUAUAGACUCGCACUAUAUAGUUGUCACAAUAGAAUAUCCUUUUAUCACGAUAAGUAUAGUAGCGAUUAGAAUUACUCAGUUUGUCAUUAGUUUUCAACCAUUAGAACGAUGCACUAAGUAUCAAGUUGUCUUUUGGUAAUCAAAGCGAUUUUUGGAAUCCCAAGCGAAGAACUGGAGCAGGUAGUGAGUAUGAUGAAGUUUUCAACCAGCUGUCAAUAUGUGGUCCACAUGGUGGACAAUAAUGAGAAAUGCGUAAAGGAGUUCGUAAAUGAAUCGCGUCAUGAGAUUUUCAAUUCCCCUAGUAAACCAGGGAGAUAUUAUGAAGGAACAAGCAAUGAACGAGACUCUCACCACCGAGUCACUACAACAAUUGGAGAAGGAAAAAGUUCACGCACAAACAAGAUAUGUACACCACCUCAAGAUGGAGGUAAAGAAAAAGGAAAUGGAAUGAAAGAAAUAGAGGAAACCCUUAAAUGGAAGGAAAGCACUAGAACUAAACUUAAGGUAUAACCCAACCCCAAGGCUAGUAGGCUCAAGCUAAGAGAGUGAAUGCUUUGGCUAAAGUGCCAGAAGCUACAGCAAGAAUAAAGUUGGAACGCCACCACAAUGGAAACUUAGAAACCCCCAUUAAAUAACCAUUUGGAAAUGGGAAAAUGAGUUUACAUGGCAGAAGGAGUGCCAUUAAUCCUCGAAGUGAAAGUUACGAAGACGAUGAGAAAAGUUUGAUGUUAGAAUUCCCUGGUCAAUCUGAGAAGGUGACUUAGGACGAAGGAAACAAUUAAGGAAGUUCAACAGAUUUGAGAGUACAAAGAUAUUUUUCCCAAUGAAUUACCAAAUUUUCACCAGACCUAGUUUCAUGCAACAUAGUAUGUCACUAUGGGGAGCACUAAUUCAAGAUGUCAAAGAAAAGAUGAUACACUAAGGAUGUGUAUUGAUUAUAAGAAGUUGAAGCAAGCUCAUAAGAAUAGAUAUCCUCUUCCGAGGAUAGACGACCUGUUAAAUCAGUUGAGAGGAGCCGGUGUGUUUUCCAAGAUUGACCUAAGAUCUGGUUACCACCAACUCAGGAUGAAAAGAGAAGACAUUCCAAAGACAGCGUUUCGAACGCGUUAUGGACUUUACGAGUUCACAGUGAUGCCCUUCGAUUUAACGAAUGCCCCAGCAGUUUUCAUGGACCUAAUGAAUAGAGUUUUCCAUCAGUAUCUCGAUAGUUUUGUCUUAGUGUUUAUCGACGACAUCCUCGUAUACUCUAAGACCGAAGAACAACAUGAAGAGCACUUACGCAUCGUACUCAAAACCCUGCGCAAUGAGAAAUGGUUUACCAAAUUCAACAAGUGUGAAUUUUGGUUAAAGGAAGUUAUGUUUCUCGGUCACAUAGUGUCGACUGAAGGAAUCAAAGUAGACCCCGCCAAGGUCGAAGCAGUCAAGGAAUGGAAGGCACCAUCAAAUGUCAAUAAGAUCAGAAGUUUUCUCGGUCUAGCAGGUUACAACAUAAGGUUCAUCGAAAGAUUCUCGAAAUUGGCUAGGCCAAUGACUCGACUUUUAAGAAAAGGGACUAAGUAUGUUUGGUCCGAAGCUUGUAAACAAAGUUUUAAGUAGCUCAAGACUAGGUUGACUACUGCACCAGUGUUACCAAUACCAGGGGAAAAUGAAGAAUUUGAGGUGUACACUGAUGCCUCGAAACUAGGAUUGGGUUACGUGUUGAUGCAAAAUCAGAAAGUGAUAGCAUACACGUCUCGUCAAUUGAAGCCCCAUGAGCUGAACUACCCAACUCAUGAUUUAGAACUAGCAGCCGUUGUGCACGCGCUGAAGAUUUGGAGACACUACCUCUAUGGAGUUAAGUGUAAGAUCUUUACAGAUCAUAAGAGUUUAAAGUACUUUUUCGAGCAAAAAGGAUUUAAACAUGAGACAACGAAGAUUGCUCGAAUUAGUAAAGGAUUACGAUUGCACCAUCAGUUACCAUCCAGGAAAAGCGAAUGUAGUAGCUGACGCCCUAGUCGAAAGACGAAGGCUAAGCUAGGGUAUUUCAUUACCCAACAAAGGAGCUGAUUCGUGAGUUCCCUCACUCAUUUAGAGAUUGUUUAUUCCCCAGAUUCAGUAUCGGGUUAUGUAGCUGCACUGACAGCUAAACCUGAUUUGAGAGAAAGAAUUGUGCAAAGCACAAAGAGAAGAUUGGUUCUUGGAGAAGAUGCGUCUCGCGGCAAGAACGAAUGAAACGAAAGAUUCACUGAAGCAAAUGAUAACGCACUGAUGGUUGGUGAAAGAUUGUGUGUGCCACACAAAGAAGAAUUAAAGAACGAGAUUAUGAGCAAGCUCAUGAUACUCCUUACACUGCACAUCAGGCAGUACAAAGAUGCACCAGGAUUUAAAGAAAAUUUUCUGGUGGAAAUAAAUGAAAAGAGAUAUAGCGUCAUCGUGGACCGAUUAUCAAAGUCAGCGCACUUUCUACCAAUUCAAAUGACAUUUGGAUUGGAGAAACUUGCAAAGUUAUAUGUCAAAGAGAUAGUACACCUUCACGGUGUACCUGUAUCUAUCACGUCAGAUCGUGACACCAGAUUCACAUCGCGUUUCUGGAAAAGUUUACAAGAAGCCAUGGGCACUCAGCUGAACUUCAGCACAGCGUACCACCCUCAGACUGACGGGCAGUCAGAAAGAACGAUUCAGAUUCUAAAAUUUUCGUUGCGAACAAUUAUCGCAGACAAAGGUAGAAGUUAGGAGGAUUUGUUACCUCUCGUAGAAUUUGCUUAUAACAAUAGUUAUCAAGCAACAUUUGGAAUAAUCCAGAUGAGGCCUUGUAUGGCCGAAAAUGUAGUUCACCACUUUACUAAGAUGAAAUGGGUGAAAGAAAGCUGUUAGAUCCUGAACUGGCCAACAGAUGGUUGAGAAGGUCGACCACAUCAAGCAAAGAAUCAAAGAAGCUCGAGAUAGACAAAAGUCUUACGCCAUAAAUGCCGAUCGGAGUUAGAAUUCAAUGUUGGGGAUCAAGUUUUCCUCAAAGUUUCUCCCUCAAAGGGAGUUAUACGUUUCAGAAAGAGGGGCAAGUUACGACCCCGUUAUAUAGGAUUUUUUUUAGAUCCUAGAUAAGAUAGGCCCUGUAGCCUAUAGGUUGGCAUUGCCACCCAGUAUUGGAGAUGUGCACAAUGUGUUUCAUGUCUCUCAGUUAAGAAAGUAUGUGUUUAAUCCAAAGCAUUUGAUUAAGCAAGAUAAAGGAGUCCUAGCCAGGACCUAAGUUAUGAAGAGAAAUCAGUCCAGAAACUUGAUCGCAAGGUUCAAGUUUUACGAGGCAAUAAUAUUGUUCUCGUCAUGUAGUGGAACCAUCACAGGAUGGAAAAGGCCACGAAAGAGAUGAAUAAAAUGAAAGACUAGUAUCCCCGUUUCCUCGAGCUAAAUUUAGAAUUUAUUUUAAACUUAGAUUUAAGAUGAUUCACGCCGGAUUGAGAAAAAGAGUUUAUUUUAAUUCCAACAAAAGUGUUUAAAAAAAAACAUUUAUAAAUUUAGUUAUUAAAUUUAUGUGCGUCGCAUAUUUAUUUAAUUUAGCAUUCAAGCAUUUUCAUGAACUAUUUAUUUAAGCAAACACUGAACGAUUAUUACAGUUUUCAUAUUAUAACCCGGAAGAUUUAUUUUAUUUUAUUUUAUUUUAUUUUACACACCCACCUACUCCUUUCUUUUUGAAAAGUCAACAUCACCACCCACUUCCACCACCAACAUCACCAUCAAUCCUUUGCACUAUACCUAUUACAGCACACUCCAUGCUUCUACAAAUUCAUUGACAUACUAUAGUCAUUCUCAUCCAUUUCAUCACAAUCCCUCACGCAAUUCAUCAUCUUUCACUCUCACAAGAAACACUAAGACAAAGGUAAGAAUUGCAAUCAAAAUUCAUUACCUUCUUACAAAGCAAGCUCUCCACUUCAAUGACUAAGCUAUUUGGGAAUCAAUUUCAGCGGCCAAACAAAUUCAAGCAAACCGACCCAACCGAAAUCUUUCUAAAAGGUUUUACUUCUAAAUCCUCAUGCCAAUUCCUUGAGUUUUAAUUGAGUCAUAAGCGAAGAAAAAAAAAAGAAAGAACACGCAUACAUUCAUAGCACCAUUUCAACACAUAUAAUUGUAUAUGCAAAUGAAUAGAGUUUAUAUAUUUUACAUGAACAGAGUAUGAAAUAUUUGAAGAAAGAACUUUUGCUUGAGCUUUGAUCUUCCCUUGUUUUCAAUUCUGCUGUGUCGAGUCUGUGGGUAUCGAGUUGGGUCAGAGGUUGUUGGCAGAGAGAGUCGAGAGAUGGAGGGAGGCAGGGCACGGCGGCGACCUGCCGCUGCUGUCCGGCCAAGGACGGAAGAUGGGGAGGGAGUCAUGGUCUGUGUGGGUGAGCGUCGAACUUGUGUAUGAGUUGAGGGAAGACUGAGAUGUGGUCGGCGGCGGUGGUUCUUCGGCUGCUGUUGCCGGAAGGCCGAGAGAGAGAACGCGAGGGAGGUCGGCGGCGGUUCAUCACUGCUGUCCGUUCGGCGCGUAGAGAGAAAGGUGGAGCGGCGGCUCGUCGCUGCUGCAGUCGCCGGAGGAGAGGAGAAUAGACGGAGGUUAGGGUUCUCGGUCAGUCGAGGGAGAUGGUGAGGAUGACCGGAGAUGGUGCUCUUCGCCGGAUAUGGCCGUUGCCGAAUGAGAAGAAAGAGUGAGAGAAGGAGGGAGGCAGCGGCGGCAUCUUCGCCGCAGCCGAGGAAGGAAGCGGCGCACGGGGUACCGUCGGGUUGAGUCACAGAACCGAGGGAGAGGUGGCCGGAGUUCGGAGAGGGAGAAGGGACGGCUGUUGCCGGAAGGCAGAGAGAGAGAGAGGAAACGAUUUGGUGAAGAGAGGGAGAGAGUGAGAUGUUGGAGGCGCAGCGGAGAAAAGAAGAAAUAGGUUUGGGCUUGAGGGAAUUGGGCCAAGUCAUGGUCUGGGCCGAUUUUUAUUAAAAUGAGCUGGGCUGUUGAGCCGAAAUUCUUAUUUUAUUUAACAGUUGGGCUUUAGGUUUGGGCUAGGAUGGAGUUGGUUGUGGGCCGAUUUUCUUUGUUUAAUUUUUCAGUUGGGCCUUUAUUUUAUUAAAAUAGAUGGGCCUUAUUUAAAUACCAUAUGAGUCAGUUUUAUUUUAAACUUUGGGCUGCCUUGAUUAAUUAAAUUAAUUGGGCUGCCCUAUUUUAUUAAUUAUUUUUAAAGACUAGUUUUCAUAAUAAUAUUAAAUUAUUAUUAUGUGCAUAUUUUAAGUAAAUUACUUAUUAUAUGCUAAGCAUGACAUGAAAUUGCAUUUAUUUUGCAAUAAAAGUAUUUAAUUGGUUUUAAUUAUAAAUCCAAUUAUUAAAAAAGACGAGUAAGAAUAUUGUUGGUGUUCUUAACUCAAGAGAAAUGUUUUCAAUUAUUUAUUCAUUAAAUUUUGAAAACCCGGCUAAGUGAAUCAUAAAAUAAUAAGCACUACACCACGACUUAAGAUUAGAUUCACGAGACCUAUUAAGAAUAGAUUUCUUGUAGGCUUUGUGACCAGGGGGAUUAGCGCUGCUUUCCCAAGACAGGUUUUUAUGUGUAUGAUCUUCAGGCUUUGCCUAUCCAGGUGGCUUACUUUCCAAAUGUACAAAGUAUGAUUGAGUUAUUAAGCUCUAAAUGUUUCAAUGAAAUGCAAAUUGUUUAUUUAAUGUAAUGAAAACUGUUUAUCCAAUAAAAUGUUUAUGUGCACUCUGCUCUGUUUAAGGCUCGCACAGUUAAUCAAUUGAGGUUCUCUUAUGACCUAAUACGUUGUUUGAGAAUUGUGUACACUUGUUAGUUGACUCGGUGGGUUGAUCUCCAUCGGGCUCUAACCAGAGGCGUUAUAAGGGUGCUCGG
rnacentral:lncRNA from 1 species